rnacentral:tRNA from 1 species
GGGGACAUAGCUCAGCUGGGAGAGCGUCUGCUUUGCAAGCAGAAGGUCAGGGGUUCGAAUCCCCUUGUCUCCA